UACGUAGGGGGCAAGCGUUGUCCGGAUUUAUUGGGCGUAAAGAGCGUGUAGGCGGCCUGAUAGGUCAGCUGUGAAAACUCGAGGCUCAACCUCGAGACGUCGGUUGAAACCAUCUGGCUAGAGUCCGGAAGAGGAGUGUGGGAUUCCUGGUGUAGCGGUGGAAUGCGCAGAUAUCAGGAGGAACACCGGUGGCGAAGGCGGGUCUCUGGGCAGUAACUGACGCUGAGGAGCGAAAGCGUGGGGAGCGAACAGG
rnacentral:rRNA from 1 species